CAACAUAGGUAGAUAGGUAUAUUCUGCCUACUAGCUGGCAAAAAGGCCUUAAAGUAGCUGCAAAAUAACAUCCUUUGUCCUGCGAAAUGAAUAUAAACAAUUGUGAUGAACUUGGGUUUGUAAUCCAUAUGGAAGUUCCUUUCCAAACAUUUAAAGAAGCUACUGUGGCGUACAAUAGUUUACGGAUUGAUGCUGAGCCAUUACGUGGUGGUGUCAUCAAAGAAUUGAAUGUGAGAGAUAAUUACUUGGUUGUAAGAAUUUCAUCAAAAGAUCCGAGAAAAUUGAGAUCUGCAGUUAGUUCAUUUCUUGAUUUUCUUAUUUUAGUUACGAAUACAAUUGCAAAAUUUGGGAUUAUUACACUCUCAUGAGUAGCAUGACAAUAUUGGUUAAGCACCAGGGGCAGUAUACAAUGUAAACCCACAUGAAAGGGUGCAAAGCCAGCCAUCUGAUAAGAGGAAGGACUGAAACUUGACAUCACAAUUUCAUAAAAGAUUGCUGUGCUUCUGUUCCUCAAAAUACGUGAAUCCAGUGAAAUUUCUUUUAACAUGACCAUUCAUGGUUCCAGACAGUUUUGAUCAUUUGUAGAGGUGGUUCCUAGGAGAGGAGAUUGGUCGGAUCAUUUGAAGUGUUUGUCUAUGGGAAGUGGUUCCACAAUUUCACUACAAUAUUGUACAUUAAAAAUGUAGAAAUGUAUAUUGCUCUUAAAAAUUGUUAACCUAUUUAAUUUCAAGACAAUUUAUUUCCUGUAGUGCUAAAAAAUUUUACAUUUAAUAAUUAUUUCUUGAAGUAAUAAAAUUUGAUUAUUCACUGGAAAAUUUUUAAAGCCUGUGCAAUUUGAUUCGAGUUGAAUUAUAUUUAUAUGCCUUUGUGAAAUUGGAACAGGAAAUUCUGUGAUGUAUAUAUUAGCACUAAGCAAUAAAUAAAAAAAUGUUUCCAGUAUA